GACGAACGCUGGCGGCGUGCCUAACACAUGCAAGUCAAAGGAAAGCAACUUCGGUUGUAAGUACUUGGCGCAAGGGUGAGUAAUGUAUAGGUAAUCUACCCUUAGGACUGGCAUAACCUCGAGAAAUCGAGGACAAUACCAGAUGAUGCAGCGGGACCGCAUGGUCAUGUUGUUAAAGAUUUAUCGCCUAAGGAUGAACCUAUAUCCCAUCAGGUAGUUGGCAGGAUAAUAGCCUACCAAGCCUACGACGGGUAGCUGGUCUGAGAGGAUGAUCAGCCACAUUGGAACUGAGACACGGUCCAGACUCCUACGGGAGGCAGCAGUGAGGAAUAUUGCGCAAUGGGCGAAAGCCUGACGCAGCAACGCCGCGUGGAUGAUGAAGUUCUUCGGAAUGUAAAGUCCUUUUGUAGAGGAAGAACAUGUCGGUUUACCGGCACUGACGGUACUCUGCGAAUAAGCCACGGCUAACUCUGU
rnacentral:rRNA from 1 species